AGUGAACGCUGGCGGUAGGCCUAACACAUGCAAGUCGAACGGCAGCACAGUAAGAGCUUGCUCUUACGGGUGGCGAGUGGCGGACGGGUGAGGAAUACAUCGGAAUCUACUUUUUCGUGGGGGAUAACGUAGGGAAACUUACGCUAAUACCGCAUACGACCUACGGGUGAAAGCAGGGGAUCUUCGGACCUUGCGCGAUUGAAUGAGCCGAUGUCGGAUUAGCUAGUUGGCGGGGUAAAGGCCCACCAAGGCGACGAUCCGUAGCUGGUCUGAGAGGAUGAUCAGCAACACUGGAACUGAGACACGGUCCAGACUCCUAGGGGAGGCAGCAGUGGGGAAUAUUGGAAAAUGGGCGCAAGCCUGAUCCAGCCAUACCGCGUGGGUGAAGAAGGCCUUCGGGUUGUAAAGCCCUUUUGUUGGGAAAGAAAAGCAGCAGGUUAAUACCCCGCUGUUCUGACGGUACCCAAAGAAUAAGCACCGGCAAACUUCGU
rnacentral:rRNA from 1 species